rnacentral:rRNA from 1 species
GACGAACGCUGGCGGCGUGCUUAACACAUGCAAGUCGAACGGAGCGAAUGAAAGCUUGCUUUUAUAAGCUUAGUGGCAAACGGGUGAGUAACACGUAGACAACCUGCCGACAGGAUGGGGACAACAUUCCGAAAGGAAUGCUAAUACCGAAUGAAGUCAGAGAAGGGCAUCCUUUUCUGAUGAAAGAUGGCCUCUGAAUAUGCUAUCACCUGUCGAUGGGUCUGCGUCUGAUUAGCUGGUUGGUGAGGUAACGGCUCACCAAGGCGACGAUCAGUAGCCGGUCUGAGAGGAUGAACGGCCACAUUGGGACUGAGACACGGCCCAGACUCCUACGGGAGGCAGCAGUGGGGAAUCUUCCGCAAUGGGCGCAAGCCUGACGGAGCAACGCCGCGUGAGUGAAGAAGGUCUUCGGAUCGUAAAGCUCUGUUGAUGGGGACGAACGUGCGAAG